rnacentral:rRNA from 1 species
GUAAUGUGAAUUGCAGAAUUCAGUGUAAUCAUCGAAUCUUUGAACGCACAUUGCGCCCGCCAGCAUU